rnacentral:rRNA from 1 species
GACGAACGCUCGCGGCGUGCCUAAUACAUGCAAGUAGAACGCAGUUGCGAACGGGUGAGUAACGCGUAGGUAACUGCCUCAUAGAGGGGGAUAACUAUUGGAAACGAUAGCUAAUCCCGCAUACUGUGAGAUGGACAUGCGUUGUAUUAGCUCGUUGGUGAGGUAAAGGCUAACCAAGGAGACGAUACAUAGCCGACCUGAGAGGGUUAUCGGCCACACUUGGACUGGGACACGUCCCAGACUCCUCCGGGAGUCAGCAGUAGGGAAUCUUCGGCAAUGGACGGAAGUCUGAACGGGCAACGCCGCGGGAGUGAAGAAGGUUUUCGCAUCGUAAAGCUCUGUUGUUAGAGAAGCGGUACCGAACCAGAAAUGGCCGGCUAACUACGUGCCAGCAGCCGCGGUAAUAC